rnacentral:rRNA from 1 species
UACAAUGGCCAGUACAGAAGGUCGCCAACCCGCGAGGGGGAGCUAAUCCCACAAAGCCGAUCGUAGUCCGGAUCGCAGUCUGCAACUCGACUGCGUGAAGUCGGAAUCGCUAGUAAUCGUGGAUCAGCAUGUCACGGUGAAUACGUUCCCGGGUCUU